rnacentral:rRNA from 1 species
AUCGGUAGGGGUUCUGAGAGGAAGGUCCCCCACACUGGAACUGAGACACGGUCCAGACUCCUACGGGAGGCAGCAGUGAGGAAUAUUGGUCAAUGGACGGAAGUCUGAACCAGCCAAGUAGCGUGCAGGAUGACGGCCCUCUGGGUUGUAAACUGCUUUUAGUUGGGAAUAAAAAAGAGGACGUGUCCUCUAUUGUAUGUACCUUCAGAAAAAGGACCGGCUAAUUCCGUGCCAGCAGCCGCGGUAAUACGGAAGGUCCAGGCGUUAUCCGAAUUUAUUGGGUUUAAAGGGAGCGUAGGCGGAUUAUUAAGUCAGUGGUGAAAGACGGUGGCUCAACCAUCGUUAGCCAUUGAAACUGGUAGUCUUGAGUGCAGACAGGGAUGCUGGAACUCGUGGUGUAGCGGUGAAAUGCUUAGAUAUCACGAUGAACUCCGAUCGCGAAGGCAGGUGUCCGGGCUGCAACUGACGCUGAGGCUCGAAAGUGUGGGUAUCAAACAGGAUUAGAUACCCUGGUAGUCCACACAGUAAACGAUGUAUACUCGCGGUUUGCGAUAGACAGUAAGCCG